rnacentral:lncRNA from 1 species
AAGGAUGUCCAGACUAGAAAUGGAGGCUUUGGGCCCAACAAAAUUUGCAAGGAAAUAAAGCAAAAGUUCAGCAAAGCCAACUUUGUCUUCUCUCACCUUCCUCCUCAUGUUUUCCUCCAUUAAUGGUCUCUUGAAGGUAAAAGUGAAAAUCCAAUUUUUUCUCAAAAUUCAUGAAACAAAAGAGUUUUAUGUUAGAUUUUAUAUGGGUUUUAAUAUUCUAGUAUUAAUUUUAAGCUAAUGUUAU